rnacentral:lncRNA from 1 species
GUGACAUUUUUUGCCUUUAUUUUCUUGCCUCUAAGGUGUGAGUGGUGGUGACUGCCCUAUGGAAUUAGGUUACAGUGUUGUAGUGAAGAUAAAAUGAAGGAUGAAGACAAACAUAAUUUGGAUAGUUAAAUUGUAUUGAAAUGCAAGCUAUUUAUCCUUGAGAAAAUUCUCAGACAUUCUCAAUUUCUAUGAUGCAGGUGACAAAAUCGUCCGAGGAAGCAUCUUCCCUUCCCAAUGGUGAUGUGGCAGGAGAAGCACAGAGCAACACAGAGGGAACAGAGAAGGCUGAAGAAAGUGGACAACACGAGGCACAAAAAGAAGGCAGUGAAGAUGCGGGCAACCUCACCGGAUCCCCAGAGAAGAAUGUGAGUGUUUGCUGUUUUCACUGUAGUUUCACUGGAUUCAGUUCUGUUCAACAAGCAUUUAUUUAGCUCUGCCAGGUGCCAGGAAUCUUUCUGGGCACACGAGAGUGGGCGUGAAAGUAAGGAACUGAGGGUUUAGCCAGGAGGCAGCAGGUAAUUUUCACUUAAUGUGUUAACUGCUGUGUUCAAGGUGAGUAGAGGGCUGAAAGGAAGCCAGAGGAAGGACCCUGAACCCAGGCCUGGAGUGACAGGCUACGCAAGACUUUAAUGAUUUGUCAUUGUGUUGUUACGGUUAGGUUGGGUUCAUGUUAUUUCUAAAGCAAGGGACCUUAUGCCUCGGUCAUGCGUAGUGAUGGACUCCUAUCACACUUGUCGACUUAAAAAAAAUGUACAACGUGAACGUUGUGAGUUAAGUUUUGUUUGGGGCAGAAUGUGGACUAUAGCCCGGGAGAUAGCAUCUCAGAUAGCUCUGAGAAACUGCUCCUAAGAGGUAGCGGGAAACGUCAGUACAUAUGUGAUUUUGAUAAAGGGAGUCCAUGCAAUCAAGAGCAUAUUUUUUGCAGAAGGUUCUGCUCGUCUCGGGAAGGUUACUUCUAGUCACGAGGAGCAGACGUCACCAUGAAGGAUUUUAGCGCUCUUCUAGAUACGAGGAGAUGCAAGAAUUGGGCUCAUAAAAUCUUCUCCUGAAAGCAUCUAACUAUCUGAAGACCUGUUCUGCCAGUUUUUCCCAGAUCACAGAGGGCCUCAUUCCUGAUCUCCACCCUGAACUCCUUUCAAGGGGUGUUGAAGGUCAGCAACUGCAACAGCUCAUGAUUUAAUCCUUGUAGAGGCAGAUGGCAAGUGCCAGUUUGUAGUUGGCAUACUCCACCAAGAGGAUUUGUGGGAAGGCAAUGGGAGCUGAGGAUAAUAGGGUCCCUGGGGGAGGGAAACUGACACCAAUUCAAAGCCAAUCAGGGGACUCUCAGGGCCCCGCUGACGCAAGGCCCGUGAGCUAAUUCUAAAGCGUUCCAAUGCAGGGGCCGCAGGGUAAAGGGCCGAGGGGAGACUGUGGCUCUGGAAGCACCAAGCUAAGAUAAUGGUGGAUCAGAUGGG